rnacentral:lncRNA from 1 species
AGGGAAGGCAGGGGAGGAAGCUUGCCCAGUCUCGGUCCCGGCGAGCCCCGACGGAGGGUGUCCGGCCGCUCUGGGGGAGCCUGGGGUGCUGCCGCGGUGGCUGUUGAUUGUGGGGGUGGACUCACGGGGCUGUAAAAUGUGAAAAUAUGUGGUAAGACGUCGUUGUGCCGCCUUCGGGUUAAAGCGGUGCCUUGUUCUAUCAGCGGGUCUAGCGACUGCGCUGGGGAAACCGCUUUGGGGAGUUAGGCCUGUGAUGAGUAUGUCGGUAUUUCUGCGGUAGCGUGGAGAAGGACUCUUCUUGUUGGGGUAAAAUGAGAGCUGUACGGGCAGCAUGGACUUGAAAAGCCCACGCGCGCUUCCUGAGUUAGAGCACGCCAGUGGGGUUUUGGUUUGGUUUUCAGCGCCUUGUCCUCUUUCCUUGGAUGCUGAAGACUUGCCUCGCCUCGGCCAGGUGUAAGACCCAUCUAGCACUUAGCAGCUAGUCUGUCCCAAAGACGUUUCCGUGCCUCGGUCGGUUCUCUGAACAGGCGAUCCUCAUCUCGGAAACGAGGCCUUACCCACUCCGGUCACCUCGCAGAGGCACCUGACGUGUCCUGGCAGAGCCGUUUGCGGCGCUGGGCGCUAGCGGAGGCAAAACAGAAUGCUACCUUCCUUUUUUCCUCUAGCAUAUAUAAAAGCACAGACUGCAUCAGACACUGGAGAGCUGCAUGGAGAUUUUACUUUGCAAAUGGAACAGCAUGCUGGCAGCAUAGAGGAUGAAAGUCUUUGAAGAGCUCUUUUGAGGAUAGAAAUCAGCCCAUGAACUCCUUCAGGCUGCAGUCUUAUUCAUCAUUAUUUCCAAGAUUUUUUUCACAUGCUCACCAAGAUAAAUUCAAAUUUAAAAACAGUCCCAGUGAGCUGGGUAUGUAUUAUAUAGGUAUGUAACACAGCUAUAGUUAAUGUAAUUUUUAUACCUCAAUAUUAUGCAAAAAUGCUACAAACCAAAUACUUAAUACGUUGGAGGUUUAAUUUUGUCCCUGAUAAACAGGAAAGUAUGCCACAAACCAUUUAGCACCCUCAGCUAAACUUUGCUUUUAACUCCUGCGUGCAAUAAGUGGUUUCUGCGAUCGCAGAUGAGGUAAGCUUUUGGGGCACUGCUGCUUAUAUAAUGCCUCUCCUGUGAACAGAAGAUUUUCGUCUCUAGCCCUGCCAGACCAACAUGUAAAGAAUAAGACAAUAAAUUAUAGCAAUGUUGUAAGGACA